GACGAACGCUGGCGGCGUGCUUAACACAUGCAAGUCGAACGGAAAGGCCCUGCUUUUGUGGGGUGCUCGAGUGGCGAACGGGUGAGUAACACGUGAGUAACCUGCCCUUGACUUUGGGAUAACUUCAGGAAACUGAGGCUAAUACCGGAUAGGAGCUCCUGCUGCAUGGUGGGGGUUGGAAAGUUUCGGCGGUUGGGGAUGGACUCGCGGCUUAUCAGCUUGUUGGUGGGGUAGCGGCUUACCAAGGCUUUGACGGGUAGCCGGCCUGAGAGGGUGACCGGCCACAUUGGGACUGAGAUACGGCCCAGACUCCUACGGGAGGCAGCAGUGGGGAAUAUUGCACAAUGGGCGGAAGCCUGAUGCAGCAACGCCGCGUGCGGGAUGACGGCCUUCGGGUUGUAAACCGCUUUCGCCUGUGACGAAGCGUGAGUGACGGUAAUGGGUAAAGAAGCACCGGCUAACUACGUGCCAGCAGCCGCGGUGAUACGUAGGGUGCGAGCGUUGUCCGGAUUUAUUGGGCGUAAAGGGCUCGUAGGUGGUUGAUCGCGUCGGAAGUGUAAUCUUGGGGCUUAACCCUGAGCGUGCUUUCGAUACGGGUUGACUUGAGGAAGGUAGGGGAGAAUGGAAUUCCUGGUGGAGCGGUGGAAUGCGCAGAUAUCAGGAGGAACACCAGUGGCGAAGGCGGUUCUCUGGGCCUUUCCUGACGCUGAGGAGCGAAAGCGUGGGGAGCGAACAGGCUUAGAUACCCUGGUAGUCCACGCUGUAAACGGUGGGUACUAGGUGUGGGGUCCAUUCCACGGGUUCCGUGCCGUAGCUAACGCUUUAAGUACCCCGCCUGGGGAGUACGGCCGCAAGGCUAAAACUCAAAGGAAUUGACGGGGCCCCGCACAAGCGGCGGAGCAUGCGGAUUAAUUCGAUGCAACGCGUAGAACCUUACCUGGGUUUGACAUGGAUCGGGAGUGCUCAGAGAUGGGUGUGCCUCUUUUGGGGUCGGUUCACAGGUGGUGCAUGGCUGUCGUCAGCUCGUGUCGUGAGAUGUUGGGUUAAGUCCCGCAACGAGCGCAACCCUUGUUCACUGUUGCCAGCACGUUAUGGUGGGGACUCAGUGGAGACCGCCGGGGUCAACUCGGAGGAAGGUGGGGAUGACGUCAAGUCAUCAUGCCCCUUAUGUCCAGGGCUUCACGCAUGCUACAAUGGCUGGUACAGAGAGUGGCGAGCCUGUGAGGGUGAGCGAAUCUCGGAAAGCCGGUCUCAGUUCGGAUUGGGGUCUGCAACUCGACCUCAUGAAGUCGGAGUCGCUAGUAAUCGCAGAUCAGCAACGCUGCGGUGAAUACGUUCCCGGG
rnacentral:rRNA from 1 species